UUCCUACGGGAGGCAGCAGUGGGGAAUAUUGGACAAUGGGGGCAACCCUGAUCCAGCAAUGCCGCGUGUGUGAAGAAGGCCUGCGGGUUGUAAAGCACUUUCAGUAGAGAAGAAAAGCCUAGGGUUAAUAACCCUGAGUCUUGACGUAACCUACAGAAGAAGCACCGGCUAACUCCGUGCCAGCGGCUGCGGUAAUACGGAGGGUGCGAGCGUUAAUCGGAAUUACUGGGCGUAAAGCGCGCGUAGGCGGUUUUGUCAGUCGGAUGUGAAAGCCCCGGGCUUAACCUGGGAAUUGCAUUCGAUACUGCAUGACUAGAGUACGGUAGAGGGAAGUGGAAUUCCGGGUGUAGCGGUGAAAUGCGUAGAUAUCCGGAGGAACACCAGUGGCGAAGGCGACUUCCUGGGCCAGUACUGACGCUGAGGUUCGAAAGCGUGGGGAGCAAACAGGAUUAGAUACCCUGGUAGUCCACGCCGUAAACGAUGAGAACUAGAUGUCGGGAGGAUUUGCCUUUCGGUGUCGCAGCUAACGCGUUAAGUUCUCCGCCUGGGGAGUACGCCGGCAACGGUAAAACUCAAAUGAAUUGACGGAA
rnacentral:rRNA from 1 species